GUUAGGAAUAUUGGACAAUGGACGCAAGUCUGAUCCAGCCAUGCCGCGUGAGUGAUGAAGGCCUUCGGGUUGUAAAGCUCUUUAGCCGAUGAUUAUAAUGACUGUAGUCGGAAAAUAAGCCCCGGCUAACUUCGUGCCAGCAGCCGCGGUAAUACGAAGGGGGCGAGCGUUAUUCGGAAUCACUGGGCGUAAAGCGUGCGUAGGCGGUUUUGUAAGUUGGGAGUGAAAGCCCAGGGCUCAACCCUGGAAUUGCUCUCAAAACUACAAGACUUGAAUUCGGGAGAGGAUAGCGGAAUUGUCAGUGUAGCAGUGAAAUGCGUAGAUAUUGACAGGAACACCAGUGGCGUAAGCGGCUAUCUGGACCGACAUUGACGCUGAGGCACGAAAGCGUGGGGAUCAAACAGGAUUAGAAACCCCAGUAGUCC
rnacentral:rRNA from 1 species